UGCAUCCCAGUGCCUCCCAGUACAUCCCAGUACAUCCCAGUACCUCCCAGUUCCCCCCCAGGCGACUCCGGAGGCCCCGUCGUUGUCACGUGGGGGAAGCGCCACUUCCAGGUGGGCGUGGUCAGCUGGGGCGUGGUCCCCGUGUGCCACGAGCGCCGGGCCCCGUCCUACGCCCGCGACUUCCACGUGAGCCUGUUCGAGGUGCUGCCCUGGCUGAGGGAGAAGCUGCAGGACGAGGACCUGGGCUUCCUGCCCUGAGCCCUGGGGACACGCCAGCACACGCUGGGACACGCCAGAACACGCCAGCACACGCCAGGACACGCAGGGACACGCCAGGGACACGCCACGGCCACGCGACCCCACAGGGGUGGGAUGUUGGUGGGGGGGAUCAGAGGGGGCUGUGGGGACGAUUUCAGGGGUUCCUCUGGGUCUGGGGGGGUCCCAGUCCCUCCCCCCCGGGUGCCAAUAAACGUGGCCACGUC